AGCGAACGCUAGCGGCAGGCCUAAUACAUGCAAGUCGAACGGUAACAUGAGUAGCAAUACUUGAUGACGAGUGGCGCACGGGUGCGUAGCGCGUAUGCAAUCUACCUUUAACCGGUGAAUAGCCCGAAGAAAUUCGGAUUAAUACACCAUAGUAUGAUGAGGGGGCAUCUCCUUAUCAUUAAAGUUCCGACAGUUAAAGAUGAGCAUGCGUGACAUUAGCUAGUUGGUGAGGUAACGGCUCACCAAGGCCACGAUGUCUAGGGGAUCUGAGAGGAUUAACCCCCACACUGGUACUGAGACAGGGACCAGACUCCUACGGGAGGCAGCAGUGGGGAAUUUUGGACAAUGGGCGCAAGCCUGAUCCAGCAAUGCCGCGUGCAGGAAGAAGGCCUUCGGGUUGUAAACUAGCUUUGUACGGUAACGAAAGACCUUCUUCUAAUACAGGGGGUCGAGUGACGGUACCGUAAGAAUAAGAC
rnacentral:rRNA from 1 species